rnacentral:rRNA from 1 species
GGGCGUUAAGUUGCAGGGUAUAGACCCGAAACCCGGUGAUCUAGCCAUGGGCAGGUUGAAGGUUGGGUAACACUAACUGGAGGACCGAACCGACUAAUGUUGAAAAAUUAGCGGAUGACCUGUGGCUGGGGGUGAAAGGCCAAUCAAACCGGGAGAUAGCUGGUUCUCCCCGAAAGCUAUUUAGGUAGCGCCUCGUGAAUUCAUCUCCGGGGGUAGAGCACUGUUUCGGCUAGGGGGCCAUCCCGGCUUACCAACCCGAUGCAAACUGCGAAUACCGGAGAAUGUUAUCACGGGAGACACACGGCGGGUGCUAACGUCCGUCGUGAAGAGGGAAACAACCCAGACCGCCAGCUAAGGUCCCAAAGUCAUGGUUAAGUGGGAAACGAUGUGGGAAGGCCCAGACAGCCAGGAUGUUGGCUUAGAAGCAGCCAUCAUUUAAAGAAAGCGUAAUAGCUCACUGGUCGAGUCGGCCUGCGCGGAAGAUGUAACGGGGCUAAACCAUGCACCGAAGCUGCGGCAGCGACACUGUGUGUUGUUGGGUAGGGGAGCGUUCUGUAAGCCUGCGAAGGUGUCCCGUGAGGGAUGCUGGAGGUAUCAGAAGUGCGAAUGCUGACAUAAGUAACGAUAAAGCGGGUGAAAAGCCCGCUCGCCGGAAGACCAAGGGUUCCUGUCCAACGUUAAUCGGGGCAGGGUGAGUCGACCCCUAAGGCGAGGCCGAAAGGCGUAGUCGAUGGGAAACGGGUUAAUAUUCCCGUACUUGGUGUUACUGCGAAGGGGGGACGGAGAAGGCUAUGUUGGCCGGGCGACGGUUGUCCCGGUUUAAGCGUGUAGGCUGGUUUUCCAGGCAAAUCCGGAAAAUCAAGGCUGAGGCGUGACGACGAGGCACUACGGUGCUGAAGCAACAAAUGCCCUGCUUCCAGGAAAAGCCUCUAAGCAUCAGGUAACAUCAAAUCGUACCCCAAACCGACACAGGUGGUCAGGUAGAGAAUACCAAGGCGCUUGA